ACCUGCGGAAGGAUCAUUGUCGUGACCCUAACAAAAUAGACUGUGAAUAUGUCAUCCAUUCCGUCGGGUGACGGUCCUUGCACCGUCUCCCGACAUAGGCCCUUGUCCUUCUGAUGGAGGGGAGGGCCCCAAAAGAACCCACGGCGCCGAAUGGCGUCAAGGAACACUGAUGUUGCUUGCACAGGACAACGGUUGGCCUGCUGAACGAGCCCUGUGUUGCGAUGCUACCUGAAUCCAUAAGACUCUCGGCAACGGAUAUCUUGGCUCUCGCAUCGAUGAAGAACGUAGCAAAAUGCGAUACCUGGUGUGAAUUGCAGAAUCCCGUGAACCAUCGAGUUUUUGAACGCAAGUUGCGCCUGAGGCCUCUUGGUCGAGGGCACGUCUGCUUGGGCGUCACAACAAAAGACACUCUCCCUGGUGCGGGAUGUGGCGUUUGGCCUUCCAUUCUAGUUGUAAGGUGUGGUAGGCUAAAGUAAGUGGCUGCUGGCUAUGGUGCCAGUCACAGCACUUGGUGGACGACACAUGUUGUUCUCGGAGUUGUGACUUGUACUGCUUUCGGCGACAUUGGCCCCUUGGACCCAUGGAUGGAGCAUCGAUUGCUUCCACCGCGACCCCAGGUCANUCGNAUUACCCG
rnacentral:rRNA from 1 species